AGGGCCACCCCCACGGCAUACGGAAGUUCCCAGGCUAGGGGUUGAAUCAGAGCUGUAGCUGCUGGCCUACACCACAGCUAUAACAGCACCAGAUCUGAGCUGCAUGUGCAACAUACACCACAGUUCCCAGCAAUGCCCGGUCUUUAACCCACUGAGUGAAGCUAGGGAUCGAACCUGCGUCCUCAUGGAUGCUAGUCAGAUUCAUUUCCUCUAAGCUACGGCAGGAACCUCUGUUAUGCUUCUUUAACACACAGAAUAUAUUUAUCACAACUGUUGUAAUGUUCUCGUCCACCAAUUCUAUCAUAAGUUCCAUAUGUAGGUCUGUUUCUAUUGAUUGGUUUUUCCACAAACUGGACUAUAUUUUCCUGCUUCUUUUUGUGGCUGCAAGAAGAAACCACGUGAUGCUUUUGCAUCCCACUAAAUGACCUUACUCAGUGUCUGACAUCUAGUAACAAGACAAGCAGGUCUCUAAUUAGAGUGUAGAUUCAGUCAACCAUCUAUUGUGUGUCAGUGACAUUUUGUAUUAUGGGCUGACAAGCUCCCUUUGAGGUUUUAUUUCUUUCUUUUUUACUUUUGUUUAAAGAUUUAGUAUUUAGGAGUUCCCAUCAUCAUGGCACAGCGGAAACAAUCUGACUAGGAACCAUGAGGUUGUAGGCUUGAUCCCUGGUCUCGCUCAGUGGGUUAAGGAUCCGGUGUUGCUGUGAGCUGUGGUGUAGCUCGCAGACACGGCUCAGAUCUGGCAUGGCUGUGGCUGUGGUGUAGGCCAGUGGCUACAGCACUGAAUCUGCAUAUGCUGUCGGUGUGGCCCUAAAAAGCAAAAAAAAAAAAAAAAAAAAAGUUUAUCAUUUAAUUUAUUAAAGUUAAAAAUCCAAAACCAUACUUCUUUUUUGAAUAAUUCAAUGAAUUUUAUUAUAUGUAUAGUUGUACAACUAUCAUCACAACCUAAUUUUAGAACAUUUCUAAAAUUAGAAAUUUUUAAUGUUUGUUUUUUGGCCAUACCCACAGCAUGGCCAAGGGAUUGAACCUGCACCAUAGCAGUGACAAUGCUGGAUCCUUAAUCCUUAAUCUGCUGAGCCACCAGGGAACUUCGUGAAGUUUUUUUUAAAGACUAGUCUCCAGGGUUUUGGGGGGGUUUUUUUGGUCCCCAAUUUUUUUUCCCAUCUUUUCAGGGUGACACCAGCAUAUGGAAGUUCCCAGGCUAGGGGUCAAAUUGGAGCUGUAGCUGCUACCAGAUCCAAGCCUCAUCGUGACCUACACCACAGUUUGCAGCAAUGAGGGAUCCUUAACUCACUGAGCAAGGCCAGGGAUCAAACCUACAUCCUCAUGGAUACUAGUCAUGUUCUUAACCUACUGAGCCACAAUAGGAACUCCUGUCCCAAUUUUUUAUUUUAAAAAAAUGUGAAACCUAUGGAAAAUUUGAAAAAAAACUGAGCAGGGAAAAUCUAUACACCCUUCAUCUAUAUUCACAAAUUAUUAAUAUUUUGUUACAUGUUCUUUUUUUUUCUAAAUAUUUUUCAACCAAUUAAAAUAAGUUUUAGGAGUUCCCAUUGUGGCACAAUGAGUUAAAAGAGUCUGACUGCAGGAGUUCCCAUCGGGGCUCAGCGGAAAUGAGUCCAACUAGGAACCAUGAGGUUUCGGGUUCAAUCCCUGGCCUCACUCAGUUAAGGAUCCGGUAUUGCCGUGAGCUGUGGUGUAGGUCGCAGAUAUGGCCCGGAUCCUGUAUUGCUGAGGCUCUGGCAUGGGCCAGCAGCUGUAGCUCCGAUUCAACCCCUAGCCUGAGAACUUCCAUAUGCUGUGGAUUUUUAAAAAUUGUGAUAGUGUUCGUAAAUCUUAUGACAAUUUGGGAAAAAGAAGCGCUUCAUUAUUUUGGAAUUAUAUUCAUCCUGUCACUUUGAAGA
rnacentral:lncRNA from 1 species